rnacentral:rRNA from 1 species
AACGAACGCUGGCGGCAGGCCUAACACAUGCAAGUCGAGCGAGACCUUCGGGUCUAGCGGCGGACGGGUGAGUAACGCGUGGGAACGUGCCCUUCUCUACGGAAUAGCCCCGGGAAACUGGGAGUAAUACCGUAUACGCCCUUUGGGGGAAAGAUUUAUCGGAGAAGGAUCGGCCCGCGUUGGAUUAGGUAGUUGGUGGGGUAAUGGCCCACCAAGCCGACGAUCCAUAGCUGGUUUGAGAGGAUGAUCAGCCACACUGGGACUGAGACACGGCCCAGACUCCUACGGGAGGCAGCAGUGGGGAAUCUUAGACAAUGGGGGCAACCCUGAUCUAGCCAUGCCGCGUGAGUGAUGAAGGCCUUAGGGUUGUAAAGCUCUUUCAGCUGGGAAGAUAAUGACGGUACCAGCAGAAGAAGCCCCGGCUAACUCCGUG